UACGGGGGGGGCAAGCGUUGUUCGGAAUUACUGGGCGUAAAGGGCUCGUAGGUGGCCAACUAAGUCGGACGUGAAAUCCCUCGGCUUAACCGAGGAACUGCCUCCCAAACUGCUUGGCUUGAGACCGGGAGAGGUGAGUGGAAUUCCCAGUGUAGCGGUGAAAUGCGUAGAUAUUGGGAGGAACACCAGUGGCGAAGGCGGCUCACUGGACCGGUACUGACGCUGAGACGCGAAAGCGUGGGGAGCAAACAGGAGUUAAGAAACCCGUGG
rnacentral:rRNA from 1 species